rnacentral:rRNA from 1 species
AGUUUGGGAUCCUGGCUUUCACUGAACGCUGGCGGGAUGCUUUACACAUGCAAGUCGAACGGCAGCACGGACUUCGGUCUGCGGCGAGUGGCGAACGGGUGAGUAAUGUAUCGGAACGUGCCUAGUAGCGGGGGGAUAACUACGCGGAAAGCAUAGCUAAUACCGCAUACGCCCUUCGGGGGAAAGCGGGGACCUUCGGGCCUCGCACUAUUAGAGCGGCCGAUAUCGGAUUAGCUAGUUGCGGGGUAACGGCUCACCAAGGAUGAUCCGUAGCUGGUUUGAGAGGACGACCAGCCACACUGGGACUGAGAUGACGGGCUCAGACUUACGUGCGGGAGGCAGCAGUGGGGAAUUUUGGACAAUGGGGGAAACCUGAUCCAGCCAUCCCAGCGUGUGCGAUGAAGGCCUUCGUUGUAAAAAAGCACUUUUGGCAGGAAAGAAACGGCACGGAUAAUACCCCGUGCAACUGACGGUACCUGCAGAAUAAAGCACCGGCUAACUACGCCAGCAGCCGCGGUAAUACGUAGGGUGCAAGCGUUAAUCGGAAUUACUGGGCGUAAAGCGUGGCGGCAGGCGGUUCGGAAAGAAAGAUGAAAUCCCAGAACUUAACUCUUUGGAACUGCAUUUUUAACUACCGAGCUAGAGUGUGUCAGAGGAGGUGAAAUUCGGUGUAGCAGUGAAAUGCGUAGAUAUGCGGAGGAACACCGAUGGCGAAGGCAGCCUCCUGGGAUAACACUGACGUCACGCACGAAAGCGUGGGGAGCAAACAGGAUUAGAUACCCUGGUAGUCCACGCCCUAAACGAUGUCAACUAGCUGUUAAAUUUCGGGCCUUGUAGCGCAGCUAACAUGAAGUUGACCGCCUGGGGAGUACGGUCGCAAGAUUAAAACUCAAAGGAAUUGACGGGACCCGCACAAGCGGAUGAUGGAUUAAUUCGAUGCAACGAAAACCCUACUCACCCUUGACAUGUCUGGAAAUCCCGAAGAGAUUUGGGAGUGCUCGCAAGAACCGGAACACAGGUGCUGCAUGGCUGUCGUCAGCUCGUGUCGAGAUGUUGGGUUAAGUCCCGCAACGAGCGCAACCCUUGUCAUUAGUUGCUACGAAAGGGCACCUAAUGACUGCCGCGACAAACCGAGGAAGGUGGGGAUGACGUCAAGUCCUCAUGGCCCUUAUGGGUAGUGGGCUUCACAUCGUCAUACAAUGGUCGGGACAGAGGGGGUCGCCAAUCCGCGAGGGGGAGCCAAUCCCAGAAGCUCGAUCGUAGUCCGGAUCGCAGUCUGCAACCUGACUGAAGUCGGAAUCGCUAGUAAUCGCGGAUCAGCAUGUCGCGGUGAAUACGUUCCCGGUCUGUACACACCGCCCGUCACACCAUGGGAGUGAAGCCUUUACCAGAAGUAAAGGCCUAACCGUGGGCGAGGGCGAUUACCACGGUAGGAUUCAUGACUGGGGUGAAGUCGUAACAAGGU